CCUCCGCCCCCUCCGCCACCUCCCGAUCCUGGGACUUCUCAGCUUUGAGCAGCCCGAGCCCUCGCUGGCGUGUGUUCUCUCUGACCCCGCACCAUCUUCACCCCGAACGAAGAAGUAUGCAGUGUGGCCCUGAGCCGGUUGCUUUGCUCCAGAGUCUGCCCGGGAGAUGGACCUGGGCUCUCUUGAGUUCCUGUUUUCUCCACCUCAGCCUCCUGGGCUCUGAUUUCUGCCCCCUCCCUAGAGCAAGAGGGAGGAACGCCUCCCAGAGCACCUACAAUCCAGAGAGGGGGGCAGCAUCCUUAGGUGACCUGAGCCCCAGCCCCCAACUUCUGGGCAGCCUGCCAGGAUGGGAAGGGAUGUUCUAAAGAAAGUUCAGGGGAACUCACCCCCUAGAUGCCCCCUUUAUCCCCCCAAAUCAGCAGCCCCAGAGCCUAUUUUUGACCCCUAAACCCCAAUUUUACUGUGCAUCAGCAGAAGCCCUAAUCCCUAAAUCCUUCUCUAGUUUCAGCCUUGCCUUCCUGGAGUUUUGGCAAAAAG
ensembl:lncRNA